rnacentral:rRNA from 1 species
GACGAACGCUGGCGGCGUGCUUAACACAUGCAAGUCGAACGGCAAGGCCCUGCUUUGGUGGGGUGCUCGAGUGGCGAACGUGUGAGUAACAUGAGAGUAACCUGCCCUUGACUUUGGGCUAACUUCCGGAAACUGGGGCUGAUACCGGCUAGGCGUCCCUGUUGCUUGGUGGGGGAUGGAAAGCUUCGUCGGUUGGGGAUGGACUCGCGGCUUAUCAGCUUGUUGGUGGGGUAGUGGCUUACCAAGGCUUUGACGGGUAGCCGGCCUAAGAGGGUGACCGGCCACAUUGGGACUGAGAUACGGCCCAGACUCCUACGGGAGGCAGCAGUGGGGAAUAUUGCACAAUGGGCGGAAGCCUGAUGCAGCAACGCCGCGUGCGGGAUGACGGCCUUCGGGUUGUAAACUGCUUUCGCCUGUGACGAAGCGUGAGUGACGGUAAUGGGUAAAGAAGCACCGGCUAACUACGUG